UUUCCCUCAGGAUAGCUGGAGCUC
rnacentral:ncRNA from 2 species